UGCAUCUGUCUCACAUAUCUCCCCAUAUAGUUACCAAUGCUUAUAGUUGGACAAAAAUCCACUCCUUUAUAAAUGGAUAGUCAUUGUAUUUCUAUCAAGCAUUCUCUAUUGCCACAUCUCUUAUAAGGGAAACAAGCCAACCCUUGAUGUAAAAGUGAUGCAUUCCCAAAAGCAUACUCAUAGAAGUACUCUAUACCCUCCUUGUAUUUAGUAGAAAUUAUCCCGUCAACU
rnacentral:lncRNA from 1 species